ACGAAGUCGGAAUUGCUAGUAAUCGUAGGUCAGCAUACUACGGUGAAUACGUUCCCGGGCCUUGUACACACCGCCCGUCAAACCAUGAGAGUUGGCAACACCCGAAGUCGGUAGUCUAACCGCAAGGAGGACGCCGCCGAAGGUGGGGUUGAUGAUUAGGGUUAAGUCGUAACAAGGUACC
rnacentral:rRNA from 1 species